AUGCAAAGAUAAAAACGCAACAUACAUCUAUGAUGUAUUAGAGCCGGUAGGUAGCCCGGCCGUCCUAUGUAAAUAGGGUAAGUAACCUUCCCCUCCGGGUUGUCCAUUUUUUGUUCAAUA
rnacentral:ncRNA from 1 species